rnacentral:lncRNA from 1 species
AGGAGAGAGGGACAACAGUAGGAGCAGGCAGAUCUUGCUGUUUCAACCAAAACCUCAUGCUGACCAGAGUUGAGGAACAGAAGAAGAUGGUGAAGGCCUGCAGGUAUAGGUGUUCAGCAUGUCAUCUGAAAUAUUCCCCACAGAGGCAAAAAGAAAGGAAAUUAUCUCUGAAAAGGAAUGGGAGGACAAGAGCCUCCCUCUAAUCUUGUCCAUGCAGUAAAGAGAGAUCACACAAACCCUGGACCUACCUCUUUGAGGUGGUACUCUCAAACUCUUUGAAGUCAGCAGAAUAUGUCAAUGUUUUGGUUGAAGAAGCUGCUUGAAUCUGGGCUUUUCUGUGCCAUGUGUUCUCCCAGGGCCAGCACAAAGAAGGGCUUUUGGUGCAGGCCCAAGACCACCAUAAUCAUCAUUGAUUAUUCCUCUCCACGCCAGUGUCUCUAAAUAAACUUUCUCUUCUUUCUCUGACAAAGGUGUUUUUGAGUGUUACUGUUUAGCUGAAGAGUGACGUUGAGUGACCUUAGUACCCUAGCCCUUCAUGUAAUCAGAUGGGUGUUGUAAGCAGAGGGAGAACCAUGUGAGUCAGGAGGAAAUAUGUAGUUUACCCUUUUUUUCCUGUUUGAAAGAUUUACUAUGAUGUUCAUGGUUGGGCUUUUGUUUGGGAUAAAUUGAGAUGCUUUCUGGAUAUGAUAAGGGCUUAUUUGGUUUGAUAGACCGUCUAAACAAGGCCAGUGCAGGCUGAGCCAGGUGAACCACCAGAUCACCAUCAGCUCACACUUCUCAUUCAUUUGUUAGCAGAAAUGAAGAUGCUUGUUUUCCUAGAAACAAGCCCAGGUCAUCCAUCAUGAAGUCCAGGAAUUGUAAAUGUGAGGAAGUGCAAAGACACAACGUACACUUACAAAGGCAUAUGUGCAUUUGGAAUUCUUUAAAGGACAACAUCCUCGAGCUUCUCCUGAUGGGGCCUCCACGUGAAAAGUAACUACAAAACAGAACCAGAAAAUAGUCAUGCUGUUCAAAUAAAGAGACUGUGGCUCAGAAAAUACAAGCAACUUAUAAAAGAGAAAUAUCUGGACCACAAAGAGUCAACUCAUAGCUUUAUCUAAGGCUCCAGGGCUCUGAAGGUCAUGGGUGAACAAUUUUUUUAAUGAAGGAAAAUAAAUGAAUUAACGUGGUGACUUGUCCAGUUAAGCCAAAGAAGCCACACCAAGUGUUAGAGGACCACAGAGGAACCAGAGAGGAUCUGGGAAACCACCCAGGUGUUCAUUGUCUCCAAAGAGCUAAAC